AAACUACAUAGCAACGUCCACUUUUAUUACGGUACAUCGUCCACUUUUCAAGGCUGGAGAUGAUAAAUCGAUAUUUGGUUCAUAUAAUCGUGCUACAUGUAAUUAUCACUUAUAGCAUUUUCGGCUAUUAUUUUCCUCGCAUUCGACUGUAGUUGGUCAAUUUCUUAUGGCAUAAAGCUUAAAACCUAUUGUAGAUCCGGACUUAAACCUUGUGUCCACGAUGUUAGAGUCAUGGCACACAAAAAACUUAAGACAAUGGAUACAUUCGGUACUACGACAGUUCAGUGAGCGUUUGUAUCUGUUUGGUCUAUAUUUUGAGUUCUAACGGAAUAUGCUAAUCAGAUGCAAGAGCUCACUGAGCGUUCAGUGAGCGAUUAUAAUACUAAAUGCACCCAAUAAGCAGUAUAUAAGGAAAUCAACAUGUUGGAUUGGCUACUAUGUUAUGAUCUUACGGACUCUACUGUGAUUGAUUAAUUCUUAUUGCUUACGUUUUACCGCUUAAGUUUUCGUGUGCCAUGACCCUUAGGCCGAGUUCAUAUCUUGAUGGAAAAGCGGAAGCCAAUCGCGGAACUCACAGUAGUAGUAGGUACAUUUCGCUUAUCUGCUUCUGCUUUCCGCGAGUUAUUGAUUGAUUUCCGUUUUUCCGUCAAGAUAUGAACCCGGCUUUAGAAAUCCGUCCUAAUUUUCGAUUCAAGUCCUAGAAUAGAAAUAGUUGUACUUUGAUGACUGUAGAUAGCGUUAUUCGAGUAUGUGAUGUUAGCUACCGCAAAUCGUAAUUUAUAUAAAUAUUAUAUUGGGUCAUCUAAAAAGUAUCCGUGGUUUUUAGAUGACCCAAUAUUAUAAAUCUCGAGGGAUCGUUCGGUAUGGACGUGCUUUAUAUAUAUAUUUCUUUUUUUCAACGAAUUUACUUAAUAAUUGCAUUGAUUCGAGACGCAGCCAUUCUCCAAAAGAAAAAGUUGUAAUUUAUAUCAACAUUAAGUGUUAGUUGGAACAUGAAUAAUUCAGCAAGACAAAAUUGAAAAAGUUGCUGAUUCUCGCAGCUUUUGUUAUGUAUGUGGAACAACAAGAAGAGCAAGAAAUAUAAGAAUGAAUAUACAAUGAAAAUACAAUGAUUAUACAAAGAAAAUUCGAAUUAAGAAGAUCUGUUUAUUUAGCACUC